ACGGGUGAGUAACACGUAAGGAACCUGCCUCAAGGAUUGGGAUAACUCCGAGAAAUCGGAGCUAAUACCGGAUAGUUCAACGGACCGCAUGGUCCGCUGAUGAAAGGCGCUUCGGCGUCACCUUGAGAUGGCCUUGCGGUGCAUUAGCUAGUUGGUGGGGUAACGGCCCACCAAGGCGACGAUGCAUAGCCGACCUGAGAGGGUGAUCGGCCACACUGGGACUGAGACACGGCCCAGACUCCUACGGGAGGCAGCAGUAGGGAAUCUUCCACAAUGGACGAAAGUCUGAUGGAGCAACGCCGCGUGAGUGAUGAAGGUUUUCGGAUCGUAAAACUCUGUUGUAAGGGAAGAACACGUACGAGAGGAAAUGCUCGUACCUUGACGGUACCUUACGAGAAAGCCACGGCUAACUACGUGCCAGCAGCCGCGGUAAUACGUAGGUGGCAAGCGUUGUCCGGAAUUAUUGGGCGUAAAGCGCGCGCAGGCGGCCUUUUAAGUCUGAUGUGAAAGCCCCCGGCUCAACCGGGGAGGGCCAUUGGAAACUGGAAGGCUUGAGUACAGAAGA
rnacentral:rRNA from 1 species